AGGAAUAUUUUAGCACCUGAUCAAAUGAUUCUGAAGUUCACCUAAAAGACAAACGUGUCAGAAUAGAUAGAAAAGGAGAAAGCAAUGAGGGAGGGAAGCAUUAUUUCACAUUUCAAAUAUAAUUAAGCUAUAGCAAUUAAAAUAGUAUAGUAGUGGUACAGGUAUAAACAACUCAAUGGAGGAAAUUUAAGAGAGUUACAUGCAAAAUUGAGUGGGGAGGUAGGAGAUGAUAAAAGAGCCAUUUCAAAACAGUGGGUGAAACAAGGAUUCAACAAAUGAUGAUGAGUCUCUACCUCUUUAAUUUUGUCCAGAUGGAUCAAUGAUUUUGAAUGUACAAUAAUGUAACAAAAUAUGAAUCUCUUAUUGUAUUGGAGUGGGUAAGAUCAUUGCAAGCAUGACAGCAAACUCGUGAACAAGGCAAGAAAAUGAUUUAUGAAAGCAUAUAUAUAAUAUGUAUUAAAAUACGUGACGGUGAAUUUUUCUGAAAUGCAUUCUUCCCUUAAAGUAAUCUGGGCUCAUACUCUACAAAGCCAUUGGAAGUGAAAGAAAGGUUGGGUGGGGAAAAGAAAAGUGCUUUGCAAGUUCAUUUUCGUUGUCAGGAGAGCUUGUUAGGUUCUCCACAGAGGCAGGAAAACUUCAGUCACGUGGCAAAUGCCCCACUCAGUGCGCGUGCUGCACAGACCGUUGCUGCGCAUGUCUGUUGCUGCGCAUGUCUGCGCAUGUCUGUUGCUGCGCAUGCGCCUUGUUGCCCACCUUUGUCCACGUAGAGUUCUGCAAGGAAGCGUUGCGUCUGAGUUCUUGCCGCCAUCUUCAUUCUUACUCACGGACUGAGAUUCAGCCGCUAGGUCCGCAGAUCGGUCUUUCAGGGAAUUUAGUUGUGCGUGAAUUGGGAACUAUGAGUGAGCAUGUGAGAACAAGACCCCAGUCCUCAGAAAGAGGAAAUGACGAAGAGCCUUCCCAGCUGGUUGGACCUGCGAUUGUGAGUCCUUCAACGUUUGAUGUUUUCUAUUAACACAAUUUAUUUUUAAAUAUAUUUUCAGUUAGUGUACAUGCACUGAUAGGGGUCUUCCAUGAUAAAAAAUAAUGAUGGCAUCUCAUGAAGGAAACUUUGGUUCAGGAGUAUUAUAUUCUGGUGUUGUCUGUAUGGAUAUGGAUAUUUUUUUCUCUCUCUCUCUCUGUGUGUGUGUGUGUGUGUGUGUGUGUGUGUGUGUGUGUAUAUAUAUACUGUUGAAAAAUGUCAUUAGACUUAUGAUUAGAUGCACAUAUGCAUUGUGUGCAUUU
rnacentral:lncRNA from 1 species